GAAAAACACGACACUUUUGCAGAUAGGGAAUCCUUAAGCAGUAGACGUCCCUCUAAACUAUUAUACCAUGCUAACAACAAAGCUAAAAAACGUACUGGGAAAUCAUCACAAAUCUAAGAGCAAGAAAGUUAAUCAAUAACAUUUACAUGCUGGGCAGUUUUGUACGAUAACAUCCUACAAUUGAGGCUAAUAAAAAAGAGGACAACAAGCACACCCAGAAACUAAUAUUACUUUUGUCACAUACUCAACAAGUCAACAGUGUGAAGGCCGUUUUGCAGCCGAGGGCGUCUUAUAGUAAAUGAACACUAAGCUCACCGUGGCGCCCGAACUCGCAUUUUGACCAGAUACGCUUUUGCGGAAUCGAUUGUCUUUGACUUGGCAGGGACAUGUUAUUGGUAGAUCGACGCUCCUUAGAAUUCACUACCCAUUUUAUCCUCGGCCAAUAGUUAACCAAUGACAUGAAAUGGACGAACAAUUGAUGGAUCCAAUCCAACAGCAAGGAAUUUACAAAAGGAUGAUUGAAUUAUAGUUGACGACGAAUGGCAAGUCCCACAAGAUCGGUGUCGAAAUACACAAUAAAAAUUUUCAUAAAUUGGCAAUUACAUUAUAAAAGGAUGUAGUUUAGAAUG